rnacentral:rRNA from 1 species
CUACGGGACGCUGCAGUGGGGAAUAUUGCACAAUGGGGGAAACCCUGAUGCAGCAACGCCGCGUGGAUGAUGACGCAUUUCGGUGUGUAAACUCCUUUUAUAUAGGAGGAUAAUGACGGUACUAUAUGAAUAAGCACCGGCUAACUCCGUGCCAGCAGCCGCGGUAAUACGGAGGGUGCAAGCGUUACUCGGAAUCACUGGGCGUAAAGCGCGCGCAGGCGGCCCCUUAAGUUGGAUGUGAAAGCCUACGGCUUAACCGUAGAACUGCAUCCAAAACUGAGGGGCUAGAGUCUGGGAGGGGAAGAUGGAAUUAGUUGUGUAGGGGUAAAAUCCGUAGAGAUAACUAGGAAUACCAAAAGCGAAGGCGAUCUUCUGGAACAGUACUGACGCUGAGGCGCGAAAGCGUGGGGAGCAAACAGGAUUAGAUACCCCCGUAGUC